ensembl:lncRNA
UAGGAAAAACUUUUUCACUAGGAGGGUGGUGAAGAAGCACUGGAAUGGGUUACCUAGGGAGGUGGUGGAAUCUCCUUCCUUAGAGGUUUUUAAGGUCAGGCUUGACAAAGCCCUGGCUGGGAUGAUUUUGUUGGGGUUUGGUCCUGCUUUGAGCAGGGGGUUGGACUAGAUGACCUCCUGAGGUCCCUUGCAGCCCUGAUAUUCUAUGAUUCUACGAUUCUAUGAAGACUCAAACAGCAGCGUGGGAAUUAAGUAACUACAGGGAUUCUUCAGGCAACUGGAUCCGGACAACUGGAAAUAAAUUGGGACAACUAUUCCAUAUAGGCCUUCAGAACAUAGGCAGCAUAGAUAGAGGAGCCUAACUGGGCAUCAGCUAAUUCGGGGUAUCUAUGGAAGGCAUCUUCUUUCUUUUGUCCAGGAUAUCUUUGGGUGAGCUUCUAGUGUCCACUCUCCCGAGUAGAUGGAGAGCCUGCUUUGUCAGUUCACCUUGGAACAAAAGUCUCUGCCCGAAACAAAAGGAAGGUUCCCAUGAAGAACAAGUGCACAUCACCCAGAAGAAGAAGAACACUGCUUCUGACUUUGUGUGCCUCUUUACUGGCUAAUGCAUGCUAUCGCUAUAACAUUGUCUGAAUGCAAGGAUGUGAUCAUGCCAGCAAAGAAGUGUAGGGCUGAUUUAGUUGGGAAUUGGUCCUGCUUUGAGCAGGGGGUUGGACUAGAUGACCUUCUGAGGUCCCUUCCAACCCUGAUAUUCUAUGACUUCCAUGGUUUGAGGCUAUUGAUAUGAAGCUCCAUUUUCCGGUUGGCCCAUACCAUUUGAGUUGUGGUACAUCCAGCAUGUCCUAACCAACUUUCACCCACCCACUCCUGUAAUAGAUCCCUAACCUCUGGCUGAGUUACUGAAGUUCUCAAAUCAUGGUUUAAAGACUUCAAGUUACAGAGGAUCCAUUAUUUACACUAGUUUAAACCUCCAAGUGACCCGGGCCCCGUGCUGCAGAGGAAGACAAAACCCCCACCAGGGUGUCUCCCAAUCUGACCCGGAGGAAAAUUCUUUCCUGACCCCAAAUAUGGCAACCAGUUAGACCCUGAGCCUGUGGGCAAAACCCACCAACUACACACAUGGGAAAGAAUUCUCUGUAGUAACUCAGAGCCCACCCCGUCUAGUGUCCCAUCACCGGCAAUUGGAGAUAUUUGCUACUAGCAGUUGCAGAUUGGCUACAUGCCAUUGUAGGAAGUUCCAUCAUACCAUCCCCUCCAUGAAUUUAUCAAGCUCAGUCUUGAAGCCAGUUCGGUUUUUUUUUCUCCCACUGCUCCCCUUGGGAUUCUGUUCCAGAACUUCACUCCUCUGAUGGUUAGAAACCAUCAUCUAAUAUUGAGCCUAAACUUGUUGGUGACCAGUUUAUAUCCAUUUGUUCUUGUGUCCACAUUGGCACUUAACUUAAAUAACUCCUCUCCCUUCCUGGAAUUUAUCCCUCUGACGUAUUUAACAAUCAUAUCUCCCCUCAGCCUUCUUUGGUUAGGCUAAACAAGCCAAGCUCUUUGAAUCUCCUCCCAUAAGGUAGGUUUUCCAUUCUUAAGCACCCUCACACCUUCCCCCUUAAGCAC